rnacentral:rRNA from 1 species
AGAGUUUGAUCAUGGCUCAGAUUGAACGCUGGCGGCAUGCUUUACACAUGCAAGUCGAACGGCAGCGGGGGCUUCGGCCUGCCGGCGAGUGGCGAACGGGUGAGUAAUGCAUCGGAACGUACCCAGUCGUGGGGGAUAACACAUCGAAAGAUGUGCUAAUACCGCAUACGUCCUGAGGGAGAAAGCGGGGGCUCGCAAGACCUCGCGCGAUUGGAGCGGCCGAUGUCGGAUUAGCUAGUUGGUGGGGUAAAGGCCUACCAAGGCGACGAUCCGUAGCGGGUCUGAGAGGAUGAUCCGCCACACUGGGACUGAGACACGGCCCAGACUCCUACGGGAGGCAGCAGUGGGGAAUUUUGGACAAUGGGCGCAAGCCUGAUCCAGCCAUGCCGCGUGAGUGAAGAAGGCCUUCGGGUUGUAAAGCUCUUUCGGACGGGAAGAAAUCGUGGUGGCGAAUACCUGCCAUGGAUGACGGUACCGUAAGAAGAAGCACCGGCUAACUACGUGCCAGCAGCCGCGGUAAUUC